GACGAACGCUAGCGGCGUGCCUAAGGUAUGCAAGUCGAACGGGGGCUUCGGCCCCAGUGGCGAACGGUCGAGUAACACGUAGACAACCUGCCCGCAAGUGGGGGAUAACAGCUCGAAAGGGCUGCUAAUACCGCAUGUGGCCCGGGGGCGCUGGCCCUUGGUGCUAAAGAUUUAUUGCUUGCGGAUGGGUCUGCGGCCUAUCAGGUAGUUGGUGAGGUAACGGCCCACCAAGCCGACGACGGGAGCGGGUCUGAGAGGAUGAUCCGCCGGACGGGACUGAGACACGGCCCCGACUCCUUCGGGAGGCAGCAAUGAGGAAUAUUGCACAAUGGGCGAAAGCCUGAUGCAGCGACGCCGCGUGGGUGAGGAAGUUCUUCGGAAUGUAAAGCCCUUUUAUCGGGGACGAUUCAAGACGGUACCCGAUGAAUAA
rnacentral:rRNA from 1 species